GCGCCGAUGGUCAAGGGGUUACGAUGCAGUCCUCCCAUUGUCUUCUAGCUGGACUAGACUGCGGCCCGGGUUCGAAUCCCGGUCGGCGCA